rnacentral:rRNA from 1 species
GCCCAGACUCCUACGGGAGGCAGCAGUGGGGAAUAUUGCACAAUGGGGGAAACCCUGAUGCAGCGACGCCGCGUGAAGGAAGAAGUAUUUCGGUAUGUAAACUUCUAUCAGCAGGGAAGAAAAUGACGGUACCUGACUAAGAAGCCCCGGCUAACUACGUGCCAGCAGCCGCGGUAAUACGUAGGGGGCAAGCGUUAUCCGGAUUUACUGGGUGUAAAGGGAGCGUAGGCGGUUUAGCAAGUCAGAAGUGAAAGCCCGGGGCUCAACUCCGGGACUGCUUUGGAAACUGCCCGGCUAGAGUGCUGGAGAGGUAAGCGGAAUUCCUAGUGUAGCGGUGAAAUGCGUAGAUAUUAGGAGGAACACCAGUGGCGAAGGCGGCUUACUGGACAGUAACUGACGUUGAGGCUCGAAAGCGUGGGGAGCAAACAGGAUUAGAUACCCCAGUA